rnacentral:rRNA from 1 species
AAUAGAUACCCUGGUAGUCCACGCCGUAAACGAUGGAUGCUAGCUGUUAGGAGUAUCGACCCUUCUGGUAGCGAAGCUAACGCGUUAAGCAUCCCGCCUGGGGAGUACGGUCGCAAGAUUAAAACUCAAAGGAAUUGACGGGGACCCGCACAAGCGGUGGAGCGUGUUCUUUAAUUCGAUGAUAAGCGAAGAACCUUACCAGGGCUUGACAUCCUUGGAAUUUCUGCGAAAGCAGAGAGUGCCUUUUGGAACCAAGUGACAGGUGUUGCAUGGCCGUCGUCAGCUCGUGUCGUGAGAUGUUUGGUUAAGUCCACCAACGAGCGCAACCCUUAUGAUUAGUUGAAUUUUUCUAAUUAGACUGCCUCGGUAACGGGGAGGAAGGAGGGGAUGAUGUCAGGUCAUUAUUACCCUUACGUCCUGGGCUAGAAACGCGCUACAAUGGCUGGUACAAAGGGCUGCCAACCCGCGAGGGGGAGCAAAUCCCAUCAAAGCCAGUCCCAGUUCGGAUUGCAGGCUGAAAUUCGCCUGCAUGAAGUCGGAAUCG